rnacentral:rRNA from 1 species
AGUGAACGCUGGCGGUAGGCCUAACACAUGCAAGUCGAACGGCAGCACAGUAAGAGCUUGCUCUUACGGGUGGCGAGUGGCGGACGGGUGAGGAAUACAUCGGAAUCUACUUUUUCGUGGGGGAUAACGUAGGGAAACUUACGCUAAUACCGCAUACGACCUACGGGUGAAAGCAGGGGAUCUUCGGACCUUGCGCGAUUGAAUGAGCCGAUGUCGGAUUAGCUAGUUGGCGGGGUAAAGGCCCACCAAGGCGACGAUCCGUAGCUGGUCUGAGAGGAUGAUCACCCCACCGGGAACGGAGAACCGGCCCAGACCCCUACGGGAGGACGCAGGGGGGAAUUUGGGAAAAGGGGCGCAAGCCUGAUCCAGCCAUCCCGGGGGGGUGAAGAAGGCCUUCGGGUUGUAAAGCCCUUUUGUGGGGAAAGAAAAGCAGCAGGUUAAUACCCCGCUGUUCUGGCGGUACCCAAAGAAAAAGCACCGGCUAACUUCGU